rnacentral:rRNA from 1 species
AGCUCCAAUAGCGUAUAUUAAAGUUGUUGUGGUUAAAAAGCUCGUAGUUGGAUCUCGGCGGUCUGAGGGCGGUUCGCUUGAUUGAGUGCUACUGCUCUAUAGGCCGUGGUUUUGCCAGAGGUCUCGGGGUGCUCUUAACCGAGUGUCCUGCGACGCUGGCAGGUUUACUUUGAAAAAAUUAGAGUGCUCAAAGCAGGCUUUUACGCCUGAAUAUUCGUGCAUGGAAUAAUAGAAUAGGAAGUCGUUUCUAUUUUGUUGGUUUUCGGAAAUCGACUUAAUGAUUAAUAGGGACAGUCGGGGGCAUUUGUAUUCAAACGACAGAGGUGAAAUUCUUGGACCGUUUGAAGACAAACUGCUGCGAAAGCGUUUGCCAAGAAUGUUU